rnacentral:lncRNA from 1 species
UCCCAUAAUGCACCGCUUCCCGCGCGAGACGCGCGUGCGCUCUCCCGGCUUCUGCACUUGGCAGCUUCUCCGCGCUGGAAAAGUCGUUGCUGGGCGACGCUCGCAGCAACGCGUUCCUAGGAUGCCCGUACGCGUCCGCAGCUUGCGGUCUGGGCGCUGCUUGUGAACAGCACUGGAUGCGGAGUCCGAGUGCGCUUGAGCCACACAGGGACAGGGGCGCCGGACUACUACGCAGGGCUCUCGUAAGUGAGUUCUCAGAGGUCUGGAACCUCUGCCCCUUGACGUCACCAGGAGGUAGUCCUGGAAACGGGGAUACUGAGAUGGAGAGGCUUGAGCGCUGCCGCAAAGGAAAAAUCAGACGCAGACACGAGAAAUUCUGUGCUGUCUGGGACGCAGGAGGAGGAGAGUCCUCGUCACUGGGAGCCCAGCUCCGCCGCUCCUGCCCGGAUGCUCGGUGGUCCGCAGAAAGCUCCCUUCUUAGUCGCUGACUCAGGACUAUGAUAGCAGUGGCACUCAGAGGUGGCUUAAUGGAGAGCAUACCUUUAUUCGUCUUUUGCUCGCAGAUCUCUUAGCCACCCUUCCCUGCCCGCUCUGUGAUGUACAGAAUGCGGACACACUCACUCCCUGUACAAAUGGUACCUGCUGGAGCUCAGCCAGUUGAAGCCAACGAUAGAAACUGCAAGAGGAGACUCUCGGCUUCAGCCUGGAAUUUGACUACGACUCUAACAAGCCGAGACUCUCAACACUCAGCUCUCAGCCCAUUCUUAGCUCCAGCCUAUUUUGUACCACCCACACAGAUGAUGCUCCAUCAGAAGGUCUAGAAUAAGGCCAUAGUGAAUAACUAUCAGUCAUUCCUGGUGUUUCUUCCACCCCGGGGCCAGUAGCUAACCUUCAGGUUGCUCAGCCCAGUUGUUCUGAGUCUGGAACGCAGUACGUGAUAGGAGAGAGCUGUUCCCUUCCUGAUGCUCAGAAAGCAAAGUAGGAGAGAAGGAGGGGGGCACACCAACAGUGACUGACUUCUUCUACCAGGCUCCACACCCUAACCCCACUAAGCUAUUGAACCCCAUUGGCUACACCAGAAGAGAGGGAGACUGGCCUGCGCCUUUUGGAACCUAAGGUGUUGCACCUGGGCGCACCCUACCUGAGGAGGUUCAACUAUGCAUCAUUCUGCCUACUUCAUACAGGUGGCUGAGGCUGGAGGCGGAUGCUCGGAGCACUGAUCCAUCCAUUAGCUGGCCUGUGCUGCCCUCUGCCGGCCAGUGGGGUUUAACAGCCACCCUAAGCCGAGAGAGACCUGGAAUUGGAGCCAGCUGACUGCUUUGAGAGAAAACCUGUUAGGAAUGGACUUUUGAGGGCGUUCCCUUUCCUGUGCAAGUGAGUUUUGGUCCUACAGAGGAAGGGUAAAGCUGGGAAAGUGGCUUGUUUUCAUAAAGUCUGUGAGGCGCUUCCACUCAGGUGCCGAAAGGGAGAUCAGGAGGUAGCAGUGUUCCAAGAAGCCCUCUAACCAACGAUUUCCAAUCUUCCCACCGGUGGCAAAACUCCCAGAGGGCACAGUUUCAAGAUUCAGUUUUUCCACCUUUAAAACGGAGACGAAUGUGACCUUGCAGGAUUUUGAGAGGGUGAGGAUUUCUGUAAAGUGCCAGUGAGGUGUGCAAGCCCUGUCCCUGUGUAAGUGUAGCUGCCAAGCCUCAUCAAAGAAGGUUCUCUUUACACCUAACAGAGACCGUCCCAGAAGACAGCUCGAUACAAUGCAAGAUCACCAGAUCCCAACAGAUACAUCUGCAUCACAGCUCCUGCAUCCACGGCCGAGGGAACUUGGAGGAAGUAGGCGUGGGAAGAUUGUAAGAGCCUGUAUACCAAGAAGUCUGCCGUGAGCAUCUCUCCUGGAAAUGGCUGCAUAAACUAGACCGAAGCAGUGGCAUAUCUGAUGGACAUGUUAACGUGGAAGGGAGAGGUUUUCUUGGGGUUCCACCCCUAGACAAAGACCUACAGGCCACUAGUGGCUGCUGGGAGAGAGAGUUAGCUACUCCCAGAGAUGGACCCCUUUAUUUGUUGCACAAUGCAGAGUGGUCAGCCUUGAAACCAUAUACAGCAGCAAAAGGAACAGGCUUAGCAGGUUGUAUUUACAUAUAAUUGUGAAUACACAUACAUACUAAUCUAUAGAUGUAUGUGAAAAUAAUUUUUAAAGAAGGGUACUUAACUUGAGCACUGGGGCUUGAGAGGGACUGGAGGACAGAGAUCUGGCAGGGGCUGGAAGAAAGUGAGGGGAGCGAUGUAAUUCUAUUGUUAAAAUGUAUUUUUUAAGUGCCUGUGAGGGGCUGGAGACAUGGCUCAGCAGUUAAGAAUGCUGAAUUCUCCUGCAGAUGACUAGGUUCAGUUCUGAACACUCGCAUGCCAGCUCACAACCAUCUAUCUGUAACUCCACAUCCAGGGAUCUGACCCUUCUGACUUCAGUGGCUCCCAGAUGCCCAAAGUACACACACAUACACAUACAAAUAGAAUCGGUAUAUAAUUAAGAGUGCCUGCAGACACCUAGAAAUGGCAGCUGUGAAGAAGGACAUGUAAUUUUCACUAAAUGUCAGGAUGAGAAAUUUAUCAAGAUUCUGUUACAGGUUUUCAGGGUCAAAGCCUGGGUGCUGAAAGUCUAAACUUGACUGUUUAUGCACAGUAUGUUUGUGCUGUGCCCUGUAUGUCAAUUAAAGAUACAAGCAAUAAUAAAAAUCAGAGAACAUUUUAUUGAGUGUGUCCACAUGGGAAAGAGAAGAAAGGGCCCAGUGACACUCAAGUGUACUUCUGGAUUCUGACAGGAGGCUUAAACAGGCAGGGGUGUUCCUGACUAC